AACGAACGCUGGCGGCAUGCCUAACACAUGCAAGUCGAACGAGACCUUCGGGUCUAGUGGCGCACGGGUGCGUAACGCGUGGGAAUCUGCCCUUGGGUACGGAACAACAGUUAGAAAUGACUGCUAAUACCGUAUAAUGACUCCGGUCCAAAGAUUUAUCGCCCAGGGAUGAGCCCGCGUCGGAUUAGCUAGUUGGUGAGGUAAAAGCUCACCAAGGCGACGAUCCGUAGCUGGUCUGAGAGGAUGAUCAGCCACACUGGGACUGAGACACGGCCCAGACUCCUACGGGAGGCAGCAGUGGGGAAUAUUGGACAAUGGGCGAAAGCCUGAUCCAGCAAUGCCGCGUGAGUGAUGAAGGCCUUAGGGUUGUAAAGCUCUUUUACCCGGGAUGAUAAUGACAGUACCGGGAGAAUAAGCCCCGGCUAACUCCGUGCCAGCAGCCGCGGUAAUAC
rnacentral:rRNA from 1 species